UACAGAGGGUGCAAGCGUUGUUCGGAAUUAUUGGGCGUAAAGGGAGUGUAGGCGGUUUCCUAAGUCUUCUGUGAAAUCUACGGGCUUAGCCUGUAACGUGCAGAGGAAACUGGGAGACUUGAGUGUCGGAGAGGAUAGGGGAAUACCCAGUGUAGAGGUGGAAUGCGCAGAUAUCAGGAAGAACACCCGUGGCGAAGGCGGCUCUCUGGAACGCAACUGACGCUGAGACGCGAAAGCGUGGGGAGCAAACAGG
rnacentral:rRNA from 1 species